ensembl:lncRNA novel transcript
GUUAUUCGGCUUCGGGAGCCGCAGGGGCCAGACGGCCCAGGGCUCCAUAGACCACGUCUACACGGGUUCCGGAUACCGAAUCCGGGACUCCGAACUGCAGAAGAUCCACAGGGCAGCUGUCAAAGGCGACGCCGCGGAGGUGGAGCGCUGCUUGGCGCGCAGGAGCGGAGACCUGGACGCCCUGGACAAGCAGCACAGAACUGCUCUACACUUGGCCUGUGCCAGUGGCCAUGUGCAAGUGGUCACUCUCCUGGUUAACAGAAAAUGCCAGAUUGAUGUCUGUGACAAAGAAAACAGAACGCCUUUGAUACAGGCUGUCCAUUGCCAGGAAGAGGCUUGUGCCGUUAUUCUGCUGGAACAUGGCGCCAAUCCAAACCUUAAGGAUAUCUACGGCAACACUGCUCUCCAUUAUGCCGUGUAUAGUGAGAGCACCUCACUGGCAGAAAAACUGCUUUCCCAUGGUGCACAUAUUGAAGCACUGGACAAGGACAAUAAUACCCCACUUUUAUUUGCUAUAAUUUGCAAGAAAGAGAAAAUGGUGGAAUUUUUAUUGAAAAGGAAAGCAAGUUCACAUGCCGUUGAUAGGCUGAGACGGUCAGCUCUCAUGCUUGCUGUAUACUAUGACUCACCAGGUAUUGUCAAUAUCCUUCUUAAGCAAAAUAUUGAUGUCUUCGCUCAAGACAUGUGUGGACGAGAUGCAGAAGAUUAUGCUAUUUCUCAUCAUUUGACAAAAAUUCAACAACAAAUUUUGGAACAUAAAAAGAAGAUACUUAAAAAGGAGAAAUCAGAUGUUGGAAGUUCUGAUGAAUCUGCAGUCAGCAUUUUCCAUGAACUGCGUGUGGAUUCAUUGCCUGCAUCGGAUGACAAAGACUUGAAUGUUGCUACUAAGUGUGUCCCCGAGAAAGUGUCAGAGCCUUUACCUGGAUCUUCGCAUGAAAAAGGAAACAGAAUAGUCAAUGGACAAGGAGAAGGGCCUCCUGCAAAACAUCCUUCCUUGAAGCCUAGCACUGAAGUAGAAGAUCCUGCUGUGAAAGGAGCAGUACAAAGAAAGAAUGUACAGACAUUGAGAGCAGAACAAGCCUUACCAGUGGCUUCAGAGGAAGAGCAAGAAAGGCAUGAAAGAAGUGAAAAGAAGCAACCACAGGUCAAAGAAGGAAAUAAUACAAACAAAAGUGAAAAAAUACAACUUUCAGAAAAUAUAUGUGAUAGUACAUCUUCUGCUGCUGCUGGCAGAUUAACCCAACAAAGAAAGAUUGGGAAAACGUAUCCUCAGCAAUUUCCCAAGAAGCUGAAGGAAGAGCAUGAUAGAUGCACCUUAAAACAAGAAAAUGAAGAAAAAACAAAUGUUAAUAUGCUGUACAAAAAAAAUAGAGAAGAAUUAGAAAGGAAAGAGAAACAAUAUAAGAAAGAAGUUGAAGCAAAACAACUUGAACCAACUGUUCAGUCACUAGAGAUGAAAUCAAAGACUGCAAGAAAUACUCCAAAUCGGGAUUUUCAUAAUCAUGAAGAAAUGAAAGGUCUGAUGGAUGAAAAUUGCAUUUUGAAGGCAGAUAUUGCUAUACUCAGACAGGAAAUAUGUACAAUGAAAAAUGACAACUUGGAAAAAGAAAAUAAAUAUCUUAAGGACAUUAAAAUUGUUAAAGAAACAAAUGCUGCCCUUGAAAAGUAUAUAAAACUCAAUGAGGAAAUGAUAACAGAAACAGCAUUCCGGUAUCAACAAGAGCUUAAUGAUCUCAAGGCUGAGAAUACAAGGCUCAAUGCCGAACUGUUGAAGGAAAAAGAAAGCAAGAAAAGACUGGAAGCUGACAUUGAAUCUUAUCAGUCUAGACUGGCUGCUGCUAUAAGCAAACACAGUGAAAGUGUGAAAACAGAAAGAAACCUAAAACUUGCUUUAGAGAGAACACGAGAUGUUUCUGUACAAGUAGAAAUGAGUUCUGCUAUUUCCAAAGUAAAAGAUGAGAAUGAGUUUCUUACUGAACAACUUUCUGAAACACAAAUUAAAUUCAAUGCCUUAAAAGAUAAGUUCCGUAAGACAAGAGAUAGUCUCAGAAAAAAGUCAUUGGCUUUAGAAACUGUACAAAACGACCUAAGCCAAACACAGCAGCAAACACAGGAAAUGAAAGAGAUGUAUCAAAAUGCAGAAGCUAAAGUGAAUAAUUCCACUGGAAAGUGGAACUGUGUAGAAGAGAGGAUAUGUCACCUCCAACGUGAAAAUGCGUGGCUUGUACAGCAACUAGAUGACGUUCAUCAGAAAGAGGAUCAUAAAGAGAUAGUAACUAAUAUCCAAAGAGGCUUUAUUGAGAGUGGAAAGAAAGACCUCGUGCUAGAAGAGAAAAGUAAGAAGCUAAUGAAUGAAUGUGAUCAUUUAAAAGAAAGUCUCUUUCAGUAUGAGAGAGAGAAAACAGAAGGAGUAGUGGUUGUGAGACAACUUCAACAAGAAGUGGCUGACAGCGUAAAAAAAUUAACGACGUUAGAGUCUCCACUGGAAGGUAUAUCACGUUGUCACAUUAAUUUGGAUGAGACACAGGCCUCAAAUAAGAAAUUAUUUCAAGUGAAAAGUCAAAUAUAAGAAACUCCUGGAAAUGACAAUAAAUAUGUUAAAUGUAUUUGGAAAUGAAGACUUUGAUUGCCAUGGAGACUUAAAAACAGAUCAACUGAAAAUGGAUAUUCUGAUUAAGAAGCUAAAACAGAAGUUUGAUGAUCUUACGGCAGAGAAGGAAGCUUUAUCUUCAAAAUGUGUCAAUUUGGCUAAAGACAAUCAAGUUCUUCAACAGGAGUUUUUAUCUAUGAAAAAAGUACAACAGCAAUGUGAGAAACUUGAGGAGGAUAAAAAGAUGUUGAAAGAAGAAAUAUUAAAUCUUAAGACACAUAUGGAAAACAAUAGGGUAGAACUUAGUAAACUACAAGAAUAUAAAUUGGAGCUAGAUGAAAAGGCAGUGCAGGCAGUAGAAAAAUUAGAAGAAAUCCAUUUACAGGAACAAGCACAAUAUGAAAAACAAUUAGAGCAGUUAAACAAGGAUAAUAUGGCUUCACUAAAUAAAAAGGAACUCACACUUAAAGAUGUGGAAUGUAAAUUCUCAGAAAUGAAAACUGCUUAUGAAGAGGUUACAACCGAAUUAGAAGAAUAUAAGGAAGCCUUUGCAGCAGCAUUGAAAGCUAACAAUUCCAUGUCAAAAAAAUUAACAAAAUCAAAUAAGAAAAUAGCAGUGAUCAGCAUGAAGCUCCUUAUGGAGAAAGAGCAGAUGAAAUAUUUUCUCAGUGCUCUUCCUACAAGAUGGAGCUGGACUGUGUAGAACAAAUAACUAGAGAAACAAAGAGAAUUGUUGCUGUGUUGAACACUUGCUCCCGUCUACUUACUUCUCUAUAAUCCACUGCCAUGGAAUGAGUGAUUUUUCUUAGAAGCAGAGGUGGAGCCACUGAGGAAGCACAGGCGAGCCCUCCCCAGCACGUGCUCACUGGUCCCCAACAGAACAACCGCUGCCGCAUCCAUGAGGCUCCCAUUGUGGUGGGUUGUGUCACCCCACAAUGUCACUGUUGCUGAGCCCCCAUCGCCUCUGUGUUGUGGAGCAGUUAGAGACACACUGUGGUGUCUGAGUGGCUCUGCGUGAAGGACCGUUUUCUAGGUGAGAGGCACAUCUCAACACAGCUGACUGAUCAGACUCAGCCGUUUUGCACACCCUGGUCAGAAUGAAACAUUCCUUGGGAACUCGGGCCGUGAGAAGCAUCCUUCCUGAUCACCUGACUGUAGAAACAUCCUUAUCGCACCCUCCCGGGCAAAGGCCCAACAGCCUGACUGCAGGAACAUCCUUGCCAUAUCCUGCCGGGCAGCAAGCUCUACCGCCCACACCCCUCCUUCCCAGUCCCAUGAUCACCCCAGCCUGUGAGAGGCAGUUGGUGCUGGCAGUAAGCUGGUUUCCUCCUCUGCAGGGUUUUGCUAGUAAUAAAGGUGUUG